rnacentral:rRNA from 1 species
UACGGAGGGGGCUAGCGUUGUUCGGAAUUACUGGGCGUAAAGCGCACGUAGGCGGCUUUGCAAGUUAGAGGUGAAAGCCCGGGGCUCAACUCCGGAAUUGCCUUUAAAACUGCAUCGCUAGAAUUGUGGAGAGGUGAGUGGAAUUCCGAGUGUAGAGGUGAAAUUCGUAGAUAUUCGGAAGAACACCAGUGGCGAAGGCGACUCACUGGACACGUAUUGACGCUGAGGUGCGAAAGCGUGGGGAGCAAACAGG